GGACAGGAUGACUGACAGGCUGCCCUGGCUCAGUUAUCACAGUGCUGAUGCUGUCCGUUCUCAAGGUACAGUACUGUGAUAACUGAAGGAUGGCAGCCAUCUUGCCUUCUCGCCCAG
rnacentral:pre_miRNA from 15 species